AUUGAACGCUGGCGGCAGGCUUAACACAUGCAAGUCGAACGAGUGGCGGACGGGUGAGUAAUGCUUGGGAAUCUAGCUUAUGGAGGGGGAUAACUACGGGAAACUGUAGCUAAUACCGCGUACCAUAGGAUGAGCCCAAGUGGGAUUAGGUAGUUGGUGAGGUAAAGGCUCACCAAGCCGACGAUCUCUAGCUGGUUUGAGGGGAUGACCCUCCCCCCUGGGACUGAGACACGGCCCAUACUCCUUCCUCUCGCCUCCUUUUUCCUUAUUUCCCCCUUUUUGCAACCUGACCCAGCCAUGCCGCGUGAAUGAACACUCCCUUCAGUUUAUCACGUUCUUUCGGUAGCGAGGCGUUAACUACAGAAGAAGCACCGGCUAACUCCGUGCCAGCAGCCGCGGUAAUUC
rnacentral:rRNA from 1 species